GAAGAACCUUACCAAAUCUUGACAUCCUUUGACAACUCUAGAGAUAGAGCUUUCCCCUUCGGGGGACAAAGUGACAGGUGGUGCAUGGUUGUCGUCAGCUCGUGUCGUGAGAUGUUGGGUUAAGUCCCGCAACGAGCGCAACCCUUAAGCUUAGUUGCCAUCAUUAAGUUGGGCACUCUAAGUUGACUGCCGGUGACAAACCGGAGGAAGGUGGGGAUGACGUCAAAUCAUCAUGCCCCUUAUGAUUUGGGCUACACACGUGCUACAAUGGACAAUACAAAGGGCAGCGAAACCGCGAGGUCAAGCAAAUCCCAUAAAGUUGUUCUCAGUUCGGAUUGUAGUCUGCAACUCGACUACAUGAAGCUGGAAUCGCUAGUAAUCGUAGAUCAGCAUGCUACGGUGAAUACGUUCCCGGGUCUUGUACACACCGCCCGUCACACCACGAGAGUUUGUAACACCCGAAGCCGGUGGAGUAACCUUUUAGGAGCUAGCCGUCGAA
rnacentral:rRNA from 1 species